rnacentral:lncRNA from 1 species
AAAUCCAGUCUUGUGAAGUCAGUACUGCUGCCAUGGGGCCCUCCCCAAGCCUGGCAGAAGUCCAGGGUUGCCUGAGGCCUGUGUUCCUGCUGGGGUAGCUCUCCUCUGAAGCUGCUGCUUCUCAAAACCAUUAAAAGUAAACCCCUUUCUAAGAGGCAUCUCUUAAGGUUUGUGAGAUUUGGAAUAAUAUAUAAAAGUGUCUCCUAUCCAGUUACAAUAAGGAACUCGAUUCUUAGAUUUCUGUGAGGUAUAUUUAAUCAAGCCAAGAAGCUAAGCUAAGGAAGUUUCUUUCUAUUUCGAGACUGUUAAGAGUACCAGAGGACAUGGAAUUUAUCACACGCUCUUUCAGCUUGUGAAGAUGACUAUAUAAUUCUGUUAAUUUCGUGAGCUACAGUGAGUUACUCUUGACUCAAUCUUGCAUGUUUUCAUAUAAAUCUUACUUGAAAAUGAUGUCUCUUUUACUACACUGCUGAAUGCAAACUGCUAGUUUUAUUUUGGAUUUUUGCACCUACAUUAAUUGAAUUUGGCUUAGUUUUCCUUGUGCUUUAUUUG